ACUAGAUUUCUGUACUCAUUUGUGUGGAUGAAUUUAACUGUGAUGGUGGGAGCAAAACAGGUAUUGAAUCUACUUGGAGCCAAGAGGAGAUAAAUAACAGACUCCAGGAAUCAGCUUGAAUAUUCUACAGAGGGUGGUCCAGUGACUAUAAAAUAAACUGGAAGCAGAAAUUUCUGUAAUUAAUUCAACUAUAGAGUCAUUACGUGAAGAACAAGUUAGUAAGUCCUUCCUAUACUUGUUUAAUUCUUGGAAUCUUCUAAUAAGGGAAAUAAAAAAAAUCAGUGUUUUGAAUUAGAAUUAUUUCCCUUCUAAUAAGGGAAAUAAAAAAAUCAGUGCAUUGAUAAAGUGAGGUACAUAGGAUAUUUUAUAGAAAAGACAUUUGACUUAAUAGCAUCAUACCUAAAUAUUUUUGGAUGGGUGUAUAAUAUAUCUAUAUAAAGAGAUAGAUAUAUAUCUAUGUAUGUGUGUGUGCAUAUGAAUUAUUGUCAUAAAUUAUGUACUCCAGUAUGUUACACAAAUACUGAGUAAAUACAUGGAAAUUUGUUGAUACAGCUUUCCCAAACUUUGUUCUUUGGACUACUAGUGUUUCAUAAGAUAUUGAUAUGUAUACUUUGGGGAAAAAUUAUACCUGUUGAAAUAAGAGGGAAAUUAUUUUUUAUAGAGAUUCACACUAUAAAUUAGAAUAUUAAUGACUCUGAGAAGGAAUUUAGAAAGAAAAUCUUUGCUUCUAACACAACACUUACUUGAUCUCAUUAUAGUGUUUAAGGUAAAACCUUUAUUAAAAAUUCAAUCACUGUUCCAAAUAUACAUUCCAGAAAAAAACUUUAUAUGGGCAAAAAUACACAUUUUAAAAUAUCACAACACUCCUGUUUAAAUAUUGUCCCAAUUAUUUAUUAACUGUAAUACCAACGGAAAAUAUUUAGCCC
rnacentral:lncRNA from 1 species